GCGGGUGUAGUACAGUGGCAGUACAUUAGCUUCCCAAGCUAAGGACGGGAGUUCGAUUCUCCUCACCCGCU
rnacentral:tRNA from 1 species